CCCUAGAACCACAAUUCCCGGCGUGCAUCACUCCGUGGCAGCCACUGUCCGUAGACUACAACUCCCGGCUCCCCUCUGAGAGGCCCGCGCCGCCGUCCGGCAGCAGAACCGCAAGGUAGCCUCUAGAGGGAGCCCGCGAACCGCCCAAUCCAGGACGGCGGGCCACGUUUCCAUGGCCACGCUGUAAUUUCCAGUUUAUCUACAGUGAAGUUUCAUGACUUAAAUCAUGCCUGAGGCAGUAAAAGAUUGCUUUGCAAACAACCUUGUAAAGCAGCCCUGUUAGGACGUCUGCUUCACAGAUGGGAAGACUGAGGCUCAGAGAAAGAUACACAGCUUUGGUGCUCUUUGAAUUAUCUCUAUCCCUCCACUCGCGCCGGAUGCCUUCUGCUAACAGUUGAACUGGUAAGUGGGUAAACUGAAGCCCCAAGAAGGGGAAAGACUCAGACUCAGUUCUCACAGUUACCUUUGCACAAAUGCUGCCUAAAAGUCACAAAGUUCUUCCUGAUUCAAUGUACAGUCAUCGCAAAGGAUCGUAUCCCAGGGCUCCUCCAAACAGCGACUGCCUGAAGCCCAGCUCGAGAUGCACCCCUCUGUACCUGAGCCAUAUCCAGGGCGCCCAUGACCGCAGCGAAGCUGAACAUGUUGCCCAUGGUCCCCC